CUUCUGUAACAGAAAAACCUACGCCGGCGAACCGUUGUUCUCGCUCCUUUCAUCGAUCAUCAUUUUUCUUCUCAUCCAUGGAGCUUCGCCUUCGUCAAUGACGUAAACUUCACUGCUCAUCUAUAUCUCAUUGGGAUUGUUUGAGUUGCUCAGCUUAUCACUGCUUCGGCUGAAUGUUACUAUCUUCAGUAAGAGGCAUUUAUUUAGGCAUAUCUAUAUUAUCUUGUGUUUUGUGCAACUAAGAAAUGAAUUUAAUCUCAUGAUACUACUCUUGUGGUGAUAUAACCUUCUUGAUUUGUAAUGACAUGCUUGGAGAGAAGUAUUUUAUGAAUUGGAUCCCAUUGCGGUCUCAAAUAAAUGAUAACAAGAUAGCCUAACUGGGGAAUCUUGCCACUUCUCUUUCGUCAGAGGCGAAGCUACCAGGAAUAAUUCAAAAUGCUGGCCAUGUUUGCAAGGGAUUAGGUGAAAUGAAGAAAAAAACUCGUAAAUUCUAAUAUAAAGCAGAAGAUGCGAGGGAUGACCGACUUAAAUGUCAAAGUCAAAGAUGCCGAUGCCUCCACAUUGUAGGACUGAUCGAGAUUUAUAUUAUAGACGUUUCCCCACUUUCCUUCUUUCUUUUUUUCUUUUUGCUAAAAAAGUCUCCUUGAAAACGAGUUGACUACCAAUCCAAUCCAAUCCAAUCCAAUCCCCUUGUUCUAUUCUUGUAAGUGGGAAAUCCUAGUCCUGCUUUGUGGUAAUUACGUAGAUCAACCAUUCCAUUCCAUUCCAUUCCAGGUAUUGGAGAUUUUGAAUUAUUCAGCUUUGCGGUGGUCAAUUGAAAAAUGGAUGAUGUGAAGUGUGAAAGCAGUUAAGGCAAGCCAACCAAUAGAUGAGGGGUCUUGUUGUAGGCGAGAAGAUGAGACACGGAUCUUCGGUAAUAAAAACGAACCCAAACGACCCCAUUGGUUGGUUACAAGUCCUUUUCAUUGGAAUCACUACUACA